rnacentral:rRNA from 1 species
CCCUUAGAUGUCCUGGACAGCACGCGUGCUACAAUGAUGCAUUCAACGAGUCUUGCCUUAACCGAAAGGUUCGGGUAAACUUUUGAAAUUGCAUCUUGUCGGGGCUUGAUCAUUGUAAUUUUUGAUCACAAACAAGGAAUUCCUUGUAAAUGUGAGUCAUCAACUUGCAUUGAAUACGUCCCUGCCCUUUGUACACACCGCCCGUCGCUUCUACCGAUGAAUGAUCCGGUGAACACUCUGGACUUGUUGUCUGUCGGAGCAAUCCAAAGACGAUAGGGAAGUUGUGUAAACCUUAUCAUUUAGAGGAAGAAGAAGUCGUAACA